AACGAACGCUGGCGGCAGGCUUAACGCAUGCAAGUCGAACGAUCUCUUCGGAGGUAGUGGCAGACGGGUGAGUAACACGUGGGAACGUACCUUUCAGUCAGGAAUAACUCAUGGAAACGUGAGCUAAUACCCGAUACGCCCUUUUGGGGAAAGAUUUAUCGCUGAAAGAUCGGCCCGCGUCUGAUUAGCUUGUUGGUGGGGUAAUGGCCUACCAAGGCGACGAUCAGUAGCUGGUCUGAGAGGAUGAUCAGCCACACUGGGACUGAGACACGGCCCAGACUCCUACGGGAGGCAGCAGUGGGGAAUAUUGGACAAUGGGCGCAAGCCUGAUCCAGCCAUGCCGCGUGAGUGAUGACGGCCUUAGGGUUGUAAAGCUCUUUCGACGGGGACGAUAAUGACGGUACCCGUAGAAGAAGCCCCGGCUAACUUCGUGCCAGCCGCCGCGGUAA
rnacentral:rRNA from 1 species